UAGUAGGAAGCGAAAAUUUGCACUCAGUUUCGACCUGAAUUUUGGUAUUAACCCCUUCUUU
rnacentral:tRNA from 1 species